CCUACCUGGUUAAAUAAAGGUGUUCUCACCUGGCCUACCUGGUUAAAUAAAGGUGUUCUCACCUGGCCUACCUGGUUAAAUAAAGGUGUUCUCACCUGGCCUACCUGGUUAAAUAAAGGUGUUCUCACCUGGCCUACCUGGUUAAAUAAAGGUGUUCUCACCUGGCCUACCUGGUUAAAUAAAGGUGUUCUCACCUGGCCUACCUGGUUAAAUAAAGGUGUUCUCACCUGGCCUACCUGGUUAAAUAAAGGUGUUCUCACCUGGCCUACCUGGUUAAAUAAAGGUGUUCUCACCUGGCCUACCUGGUUAAAUAAAGGUGUUCUCACCUGGCCUACCUGGUUAAAUAAAGGUGUUCUCACCUGGCCUACCUGGUUAAAUAAAGGUGUUCUCACCUGGCCUACCUGGUUAAAUAAAAGGGGAAAUUUAUACAAAGAAAAGACCUCCAUACAAAAAAAAGGGGCUCAUCUCACAAGGACAGAUUUAGGGCGGAGUAGAUCCUCUCACUUCGCCUGUUCCUCUCUGUCUCUUUCCCAACUGACCGCAGAAACUUCUCCAGACAUGUAUCAGAGAAGAAGAUGCGAUGCGAGAGAUGUUACUCAGCGCAAACUCUGUCCACGAAAAUAAUCCACAAAAAAAAGGGCUUAUCUCACAAGGACAGAUUUAGGGCGGAGUAGAUCCUCUAUCCUGUUGUCAUAGAGAUGGAGGAGUCAUGGAUAUAAUCUGUUUCAGCAUGGACAUUGCUCUUGAGGCCUCCCACCAUUUUAAAGUAGUCAACUGGGUAGGGAUUCCUAUGAGUUGGGAGCGAUCAGCCAAUGAAGAAGAAAAUGUACUUCUUUAAAAAUGGAGAUAUCCUCAAUGGCACUGCCCAUGCUGUCACAGAGGCUAUAAUGGCUAGAUGGUCCCACCGGAUCUCACCUCCUCCCGCCUGCCUUCCAUCUUUGAGGCCAUGCAUUUCCAUUGUUGGAGUGGUCACUUGAGUAUCUUCUCAAUAUAAUAGACAAUCUUUGCUUGCAUGCAGGAACAUUGGUACAUGAUGGGAGGGAACCUGUCUGUCUAGGGAGACUAGUGAUGAACAAGUUGGGCCUAUUUGAAACGUCACCAACUCCUGGCAACAUUUACCAGACAAUAUAUAGAAGGAAAAACUAACUGAACAUAAUUUAUGAUGGUUUAUAUUUUAUUUUUGUUUUGGAAUCAAUGAUUAUAGUUUGAAUUUUUCAAAUUACUUUCUUAAUUAUUUUAGUUUCAGAUUUGGUAACAUAAUUACGACUUUUAAUCAUUUAAUAAUGAAUAAAUACAAAUGUAUAUCAGUAACCCACAACCAUACCCCUUUCUCCUGCACAAAUGAAAUAGCAAUUUUCUAACUCUAACUUUCUGCAAUUCAAAGAAAACAUUUUCAGUUUUACAGAUAAUUCUACUCGCGUUGCCAUGGGGACAUGUUGCCAUGGGGUGGAGGCAAAUUUGACCAGCUUUUAAUAUGUUAACUGAUGAUCAACGGGCCCCAUCCCGGUUGGUAAUUCAACCAUGCUUACUACAACUUUAGCCGCUAGACUAAUUUACCAAUCUAAAAAACAUGUAGCUAACAUUGGCUAAUAGACUGACUGCUGAUGCUCAACCACAUUUACACACUGCACUAUGUGUUUUCUAUUAUUAUACCGGUCAACAGGAAAACAAUGUUUUUUAUUAUUGGUUGCGGGCCGCCAGUUGCACAUCCCUGGUUGAGUGAAUAGACCCAUGCACUGCUUGAGUUCAUUUGAGUUGCGAUCCGUUUAUCUCGUCCGGCGCACCGGGGUUUUCAUUCUGAGAAAAGGCGUGCUGAUGAUUCAACCCGGGGUUCACAACGCGCAUAGAUGAGCCGGUGACGUAAUAUCGAGCGCAUCUGCAGUUCGUCUUUAAACUUAAUAUUUGAUAUUUGAUAUAUUUGAUUUAGCACAACAUUUAAAUAGUUUAUAUGCACAUUGUUGAACUUCACAUUUACUUGACGAGACAGACUAUUUUAUUUAAUGACAGCUUUACAUAAUUCCGAUGCACGUCUUCUUUCAGGAAGUGAAAGUAAGCCAGUUUCCAGUUCUUUUGUGCGUAUAAUAAUCACCUUACUAAUGUACUGUCAAUCGGCGAUAACAAUAAUACCAUACCUCAUAGCCCUGUAGCCUAUAUCACAUCACAUCGGAUCUUAUUGAAUAAGCUUAUCACUAUUAAUCAACACCAAUGUAAAUAAGCCUAAAAUAAUCAUUCUUGAAAGUUUAAAUCAAUAUCGUAAUAACAUGGCGGAUGUCUUAACCCCUAAAUCAUCACUCUCUCGAGUUCUACAUAAAAUUGUAAAAGAACGCUACAAACCUUUUAAACAUUCCUCUUGGUCGACAACGUUCUUCCUCCUCUUCUUCUUCUGUGGGGAUUAUGGAGGACUGCGCCCCAAAAGGUGUAUUGCCGCCACCAACUGGACGGUUUGAAAGAAAAAAUAAAAAAUAAAAUCAAUGCGUAACAGUGAAACUAACUUCAUCCACCCUAAUAAAAACAGUAUAUUGCCAAAACAAACACAACUCCCACUUCAUUCUUGUAGUUCUCCAUAUAACCCUUCUCAGGCUCUAGGACCUGAGAGGGUGGUACGGCUCUAGGACCUGAGAGGGUGGUACGGCUCUAUAAUCUGAGAGGGUGGUACGGAUCUAGGAUCUGAGAGGGUGGUAGGGCUCUAGGGUGGUACGGCUCUAGGACCUGAGAGGGUGGUACGAAUCGAGGGUGGUACGGCUCUAGGACCUGAGAGGGUGGUGCGGCUCUAGGAUCUGAGAGGGUGGUACAGCUCGAGGACCUGAGAAGGUGGUAGGGCUCUAGGACCUGAGAGGGUGGUACGGUUCUAGGACCUGAGAGGGUGGUACGGCUUGUGCCAAUAUUCCAUGUAACUCUUAUGCUGUGAAAUCUUAUUGCCCACAAUCACUAUAAUUUCUAUCUAUCUGGACAUUCUCUCCACCUUGGCAGUGCCAUUAAUUACCACAGCUAUAAAGGCCACAAAGUCCACCUUCUCUCCACCUUGGCAGUGCAUUAAUUACCACAGCUAUAAAGGCCACAAAGUCCACCUUCUCUCCACCUUGGCAGUACCCUUAAUUAUCACAGCUAUAAAGGCCACAAAGUCGUGCCAUUAAUUACCACAGCUAUAAAGGCCACAAAGUCGUGCCAAUAAUUACCACAGCUACAAAGGCCACAAAGUCGUGCAAAUAAUUACCACAGCUAUAAAGGCCACAAAGUCCACCUUCUCUCCACCUUGGCAGUGCAUUAAUUACCACAGCUAUUGGACAUUUCCACCUGACCUAAUUAAAGCGUCCCUGAGCAUGAAUUAAAGGACAAUUCCACCAACUCCUUGGGCCUUUUCUAUCAUUUUUAUUUUCCAUAAUGACAGAAGCAAAAAUCAGGUUUUUAGACAUUUUAACAUAUUAUGUUAACUACCCG
rnacentral:lncRNA from 1 species